rnacentral:rRNA from 1 species
UACGGAGGGUGCAAACGUUGCUCGGAAUCAUUGGGCGUAAAGCGCACGUAGGCGGUUCGUUAAGUCGGAUGUGAAAGCCCUGGGCUCAACCCAGGAAGAGCAUUCGAAACUGGCGGACUGGAGUAUGGAAGAGGGUCGCGGAAUUCCCGGUGUAGAGGUGAAAUUCGGUAAGAUAUCGGGAGGAACACCAGUGGCGAAGGCGGCGAACCUGGGCCAAUACUGACGCUGAUGUGCGAAAGCGUGGGGAGCAAA